UUGCCAUAAUACUAUACUAAGUAUCAUUUGUGACGCUUAAUUUCCUUUUGUCUUAGUUUAGAUGAAGCAGAAUUUCUGGUAUAAGCAAACAGUUCACAAAGGAAGCAUUAGAAUUGACAAAUAUCUGUACUUGCGAACACAACCCUGAGUACAAGAACAGACAAUGAAAUAAUCCAGGCUAUUGGAUGUGAUUAUGUGAACGUCUCAAAUAUUACAUGUCGACAGAAGCUAUAAGCUGUUAUAAUAUCUUUAAUUCUGCCAUCUGCUGUUUAAAAGAAAAUCAAAACUAAUGCUCUUAUUGAGAGUCGAAUUCAAGACUCUCGCUUACUAAACGGGUACCCUAACCAACUGUGCUAGAAGAACGCUUUGCCUUGCUAGUCAAUGGAUUGAAACUUUUUUCAAUGCUGAUACUUAACAGUUUUUGCCUAAUUCUGCAUAGGCAGUUCUUUUUAGUUUUUCCUGUUUUUAGCUCGAUCGUAUCCAUUACAGGUGGAGCCAUGUUCGUGGUCUUUGAAAUUCGGAGUACCAAACUCCAGUCUCCAGUGACUGAACUUGUAGUGUUACCAGCUCAUUCAGUAUCUAGCAUGAAUUAUAUCUUUCUCCCUGGUGGUAAGAAUGAUGUCCUCUCUCAGUUUUUCGAUUCGAGUCGUAGAUUUUAUUCAUAUGAAUGUUUUUUCAAUAAUUGCCUUACCUUCCAUUCGGCUCUUUGAUACUCUAUGCAGUCAAAUGGGAACUUUUUAACAAUUAGAAGUUUGAUGAUAUUUAUUCAAUAUCUUAUGAUGAAGUUCAGACUGCAAGGACCUUUGCUUGACAAGGUUGGUUUAUUAACUUAGGUCGCUUGUUUGAAAUGUGAAUCUGGCAGCCUGCAGCUCCCUAUUUUGGCCUCUACAAGACUGCAACUUUUUUACAAUUGUGAACUUAUCACUAAUAAGGCGACAAGCGAUUCCUGACAAGUACUUUGGCGGAGUUACAACUGAAUUUUCUCAAAAUAAGCUUGAUGAGCUCAGAGACUUGUGGAUCAAAUAUGUGGAUGAGUAUAAACAAGUGGAUGAAGAAGAAUUGGAAGAUAAUGACCAUUUUAAUUAGGAUGUGUGUAUUUUCUUUUUGAGCGGGAUUAGGGAGGUGCUUUUAUUUUUGUGCACAUGAAUUGGAAGAAACGAUAGGCCUAGGUGUUCUAUUAUUUUUUAUAACUUAGUUGAAUUUUUGGAAUCUUUUAAACAUUAUUUGUGAUUUUGUAGUGAAUGAUAUUCAAUGAAUGAAAAAGUAUUCCAAUUUUAAAGUCA